rnacentral:lncRNA from 1 species
UUUAAGAGGGUUUGUAAACCUAGUUAAUGUUAAGAUUUGAUCAUCAACUAUAAAUGUAUUCUAAACAAAUUGUUUAAGCUCAUAACUAACACCCCUUUUUCAGUUUUGGUCAUAGACUAAACAAAUUUUACCAAAUUUGUGGCUGCUAGCUUCAAGCUUCAAUUUAGUAUCAGUAAGGGCAGCAUAUGCAAAAAGCUCACGGGGCAGAAAUCAGAGCUAGGAAACAGUUGGUUUUAAGCCUUCUUCUCAAUUUCUACAAGAAGUAGACUCGAGUCAUUCUAUUUGAAGCUUUCAAUACUUACUCAACGGUUCAUGAUACAAUCAUGUAAUUGUCCUUGUUGGACCCAUAACGGGCCAGCAACUGCUUUCACAAGCAAACAUAUGUGACACCAACAUUAGACUUGCACAAGCAAACAAUUCAGCCAAGUAGCACCAUGUACUGUCACUCCAUAGAACCAUAUUGAUAAACAUAGAGAAAACAUAGUGAUUGAACUUUUAGCUUUUUGCAUUGAUCUAGUGCCAAAAAUUUAACUUCAGCAUCUUCUCCAUAAUACUUGCAAGCUCUUUUUUACUAUAUUUAAAUAAAACUUUAUAAGAGGCUGGGGAUAGGGAUGGCAAUUUGACCCAUACCCAGAGGGUACCCGCAAAAAUUACCCACAACGGGUAGGGUAAAAACCCGCAUUUUGGGUACGGGCACGGGUAUGGGUAAUUACCCGCAAAAAUGAACGGGUGUGGGUGCGGGUAUGGGUACCUUAGUACCCAACCCGCCCCAUACCCGCAUAAUAUAUAUUUAUUUAUUUUAUUUAUAUUAUUAUAUUAUAAUAUAUGUAAAUCAAUUUAAAACANNNNNNNNNNNNNNNNNNNNNNNNNNNNNNNNNNNNNUUUAUAAUUUUCAUUAGUCAAUAUUAAAAUCUUUGAAAUUUUUUUAAUUCUAUUAAAAUUAUAUGAUAUUUUAUAAUUGAUCAAUUUAAUUUUUGUAAAAAUGCGGGUAACGGAUACGGGUAUGGGUACCUAGGUACCCAUAGGGUAUGGGGACGGGGGCAAAAGUUGUUACCCACGCGGGUAUAGGGAUGGGUACGGGUAUUUUUUCAAUCCGCGGGUAUGGGGAUGGGUACUAUAGUACCCUACCCAUACCCUACCCAUUGCCAUCCCUAGCUGGGGACAUCAAAUUAUGUCUUCACAAUUAUACAAGCAACACUACAAUUACAAAUGAAUGCAUCAGUGCACCCCGAAGAAUCAAAGGCUUCUCUGCACUCCCUUCAUUCAAUGAUUCAAUACCAUCCAUCCAAAUAAAGAAUGAUUAAAAAGUUUACACUACAAUAGGUCCAGGGUCAAUGAUCGAUGGCACAAAGAUACCAUCUCAAAAUUCACAUAACGAACAUUAUUUGGUCGUAAGGGUCAUCGAGUCGACAUUUAGUGGUUCAGUUAUAUGUUUUGAAUAAAGUAUUCACACAUUACAAUAUCAUCUAGUUUAAUGGCUCAAACAUAUCAUCCCAUAGUUUUCAGACCCAAUAUCUAUUGAAUUUUAGGGUCACGAGACAACAUUUAACUAUCCUUGAAUUUACAUAGCCAAUAACAAUUAGACUUAAGGGACACUGACGCUGCAUUAUGAAUAAAGAAUUCAGAUUCCAAUAUCAUCUGAUUCUAGGGGGUCAUUAAUGGCCUAAAGAUGCCAUUUCAAAUUAUGUGUGAAUAUACAUAAUGAAUAUCAAUUGUAUUUAAGGGUCAUUUGAGGCCACAUGUGCACAUAUUUUGAUAAAUUCACAUAUUAUAAUAGCGUAUAGGUCCAAGGCCAUCAAUGGCUCAAAACUAUCAUCCAACAAUUUGUAAAGUCAAUAGCGCUACUGAACUUAGGAUCAUCAAGACAACAGUUAACCGUAUAAUUGGACUUAAGGGUAUCAAUGCAAAAUUUAACCAUCUCAUGAUUUAAGGGUCUCCGAUGCAACAUUUAACAUCUCAGAAUUUAAAGGACAUCGAGACAAUAUUUAACCAUCUCAGAAUUUAUAUAGCCAACAAAAAUUGAAAUUAAGGGUCAUCGAGGAAACAUUUAACCAUCUCAAAAUUUAAGGUUCAUCCAGGAAACAUAUAACCAUCUCAUAGUUUAUAUAACCAAUAACAAUUGUACGUAGGGUCAUCAAUACAAUAUUUAAUCAUCACAGAAUUUAAGGGUCAUUGAAGCAAAAGUUAAUCACGUCAGAAUUUAUAUAGCUCAAUAGAAAUUGGACUAAAAAAGCAAUAUUUAACCAUCUCAGAAUUUAAGGAUCAUCAAUGCAACAUAUAAUCAUCUCAUAAAUUAUAUAGCCAAACAUUGGAUUUUAGGGUCAUCGAGACAAUACUUAUCAAUGUCAUUCGUCGUCAAUUCCGUUUAUCAAAUUUCAAACCACAUAAUCCAAAUAUCAAAUUUUGUAUCCAAUGUCAUUCUCCGUCAACUCAGUUAAUCAAAUUUUUUGGACCACAUAAUCCAUCUCCGUCAAUUCAGUAUAUCAAAUUUAGGACUACAUGAUCCAAAUAUCAAAUUCCGUAUCCAAUAUCAUUCGCCGUCAAUUCCACUUAUUAAAUUUCCAAAACCACAUAAUUCAAAUAUCAAAUUUAUAUCCAAUGUCAUUCUCCGUCAAUUCAGUUAAUCAAAUUUUUUGGACCACAUAAUCCAUCUCCGUCAAUUCCACUUAUCAAAUUUCCAACCACAUAAUUCAAAUAUCAAAUUUCAUAUCCAAUGUCAUUCUCCGUCAAUUCAGUUUAUCAAAUUUAGGACCAUAGAAUCUAUCUCCGUUAAUUCAGUUUCUCAAAUUUAGACCACAAUUCAAAUAUCAAAUUUUGUAUCCAAUCUCAUUCGAGCACAAUAUCAUCAUCCUUCCAAUUUAUCAAAUAUUGACCCAUAUAGGCUCAAAUAUCAACGAGACACAAUACAAUCACUCUAAUUUAUCGAAUUAAAAGCAUGUAGGAUUAAAUGUCAAAUUUCGCAUCCACUAUUAUUUAUCUCAAUUUGUCGAUAUAGAUAAAUGAGUUUCUAUUGUCAUUCCAUUAAGGGUCGUCAUAAUAACAUGCAUAUUAUGUUAUAAAUAUGAGAUGACUGCAGAUUUCUUUUACUCAAACUACAUCUCUCUUAUUUGAAUUUCGCAUCCGAAGGAGUAUAUCAAACAACCAAAAUAGGGAGUGUUGAACAAUUUAUUAAAUAAAUCAAAUUCAUACGAGCAUCAUUCCAAGACUCGGUACCGUCAAUUCAGUUUAUCAAAUUUAAAAGCAAACAAUGACAUUAGAGAAACAGAGAGUUCACACAAAACUAAAGCUAUAAUGAAUCAAAAAUGGAAAAGCAGAGAAAUUAGCCAAAAUCAAAUUCAGAAUAGUUACAAAGGUUACCUUGAGAGACUGCGGAUUAGUUGAAUGUGGAAUCAAGAAAUUGUCUAUUUCUUUUGAUCCUAUUUUUCUGCACGAAUUCAAAUCACAUUUCUAGGGUUUGAAGAUUCUUCAAUAACAUCGACGCCAAACAAGAAUCGAGAUGGAGAGAAAGAAAACGAAGGGCUUCCCGAAUUCAUCAUCGUCGUAGUACAAUAAAUGGAAGGUUGUGGAUUUGAGAAGAUCGGACGGUGGAGAAGGACUAGGGUUUGGAAUGGGAACGGUGGAGAAGGAUUGGGAUGGCGGUGAUCGGAGAGAAUUUCUAUUUCUAUUCUGUUU